rnacentral:rRNA from 1 species
UACGUAGGGGGCAAGCGUUGUCCGGAAUCAUUGGGCGUAAAGAGCGUGUAGGCGGCCAGAAAAGUCCGCUGUGAAAACUCGAGGCUCAACUUCGAGCUGUCGGUGGAAACUUUCUGGCUAGAGUCCGGAAGAGGAGAAUGGAAUUCCUGGUGUAGCGGUGAAAUUCGUAGAUAUUGGGAAGAACACCGGUGGCGAAGGCGGCUCUCUGGACCGAGACUGACGCUGAGGCGCGAAAGCGUGGGGAGCAAACAGG